GUGAGCUAAAGGCUGCUGCCGCCCGGCACCCCCCCUCCCUCUCCCACCGGGGCAGGUCCACCAGGGAGGGGGGUGAACGCAGAGCAGGAGAGAGAGCAGAGGAAAGAGUGAGGGAGGGGGGCAGAGGAGGGGGAGGGGGGGGUGGGGGGGGAAUGGGGUCGGCCAGAAGGUGAGGCGGGUAGCCGUCUUAGUCCCUCGAUAUGUUCUUUAUUUAUUUAUAAUCCUUCCUGCUGAAGUACUUCCUCCGGUCUGCUUCUUACCUGUGGGGAUUCCUGAGCUAAAGUUGACUGGAUGUGUUCAAGGCAUUCACUUUUGGGGCAGGUGGAAGCAGUUAGAGGAGGAGGAGGAGGUGGUGGUGGUGGUGGUAUCUCAAGAGCGGGUGGGGGGGCGUUGAAUAAGAGGAAAGCGGAACCAAAAUAAUUGCAUUGGACGAGUUGUGUGCGCUUAGAACUCUCCAGUGGGCUGUCAGUUCACAAAUGCUCAGAUAACAGGACGGAUGAGGGAAUAUUUGAACUGUCUUGGUCAGUCUCUCUAGUUUGGAAUUUCACGAGACAAAGUAUUUGUGUUGGUUGGAAGUCCUAAAGUGUCUAUCAAAUGUGUCCCGGGUUGUAUUGUGUGAUGGCAGCCGGUCAUGUUUGUAUAUGUCUCUCACAACGCUGCAUGCAAGUAUCCUUUUCAUACGAAGCACAGCCCAGUUUGAGGGCUGCUCUGUACUUUAAUACCUGGCAGAGCGCUAGCAACACACUGUGGUGUAUAAUUCAGCCCGGAGUGCUUACGUUAGAACAGGCUCGGUGAUAGUGGGAGUGGCUGGCACCGGGCGGAUCUGGGAUUUGUAGUUUCAAAGCCAGAGCUGCACAGCAGGUCUAGUGCGAUCAGCAGACUCCAUAUCCCACAGUGCCUUGCCCUCAGCAAUACAGGAAAGAGAACAGCCCGAGCCUAUCCCACAAAAGAGGUGUGGUGACUGAGGAGCUGGCCAGCCAAUGGGAGCAGAGGCAGCAAAGCCGAGUUGUGGGCUGAAAAUAAAGGGGGGGUGGGUGUUUAGGUGUCUGCUUGUGUGGGAUCAGGCAAGGGCUUGCCUGUAUGACUAGGGCCACUCGCAAGUUUCCUGUUUGGAGCUCGAGCCCUGCCCAGAGACACAAGGCACACGGACGGGCUGGCAGGCAGACGCAGGAGAGCAAAAGGGCCGGGGAACGUUACUGUCUGGGGGUAAGUGCUCAACAGGGAGAAGGCACUCUGCCGCUGUGUGUUUCUGCUGUCACGCUCAAGUGUGUAAACAGAUAACAAUUGGUUCAUGCGUGUUUGCACGCAGUGGGGUGCUGGGGUAGAGUGUGUGUGCGCGCGUGUGUGUGUGUGUACUGUGCACGUUAUCUGUUUUGUGAGUGAAAUGAAGAGGUGGUACUUGUUUGGAGUUGCUGAGUUUUUGACCCACUUGCAGAUAAAGAGGGGUGACAAAUAGGUCAGUAUUGUGACCGGGGUCUGGCACUUGUACGCUCGGAGAGGUGGGUCAUGGUUCACAUUUGCAUAGGGUAAAUAAACACUCCCUCAUGUCAUGGCUGAGAUGAGUUCCUCGUCAGCCACCUGGAUGUCAGAUCAUGUCUUAAUGCUGUCGUUAAUAUCUAGUGCUAUUCAAGACUAUUAUGGGAAGAUGGAGAGAGAGAGAGCGAGGCAUCCCUUAUUUCUUGGUGGAGUAAAGCUUUGUAUGUUAAAUCAAUCUAGAGAGAUGUGUCAUAUAUCUAUAUAUAUCUCAUGUAUGAGACAUCUGAGGGUCUCGGGGUAGGGUCUCGGGAUGGCGGUGAUCUGUCAGAGUUCACGGGACAGAGGUCGUUGAGUUAAAUCCGUGGCUCUCGCAGAAGGGGAGGACGUUUGGCGGACCGGCGUGGAAAGUUGACCUUGUUCGGGGGAAUCGGCCAUCACAACGUAACCGGGUCUCUUCACAAAACACCACAACAACAACGAGUUGAACUGUGGUUCGGGCCGAUCUGUCCUCGGCUCUCUUGGUCUCUCGACGUGUUGUUAAAUGGAUCUCCGGAGGGCUCGCGGGGUCGUGCUCAUCCCCAUCCGUCUCCCCAGUGGUAGGUAGACGUCAACCUGCUAGUUAGGGGAAUGCUAGUUAAAGUGAUGCUAGUUAGGGUGCUUCUAGUUAGGUUGCUGCUAGUUGGGGUGCUGCUAGAUAGGGCGAUGCUAGUUAGGGUGAUGCUGGUUAAUGGGGGGCCGGUAAGCUAGGUAGCGUGGCAGUUAGCGUGGAGCGUGGAGACUCGACUGCGUCUCUUGAUACAUGGACGCAGAUUCCUUGGCAGCCCUCUCUGGCCCGACCUGUUCUGAAGAGCGUGAGCUCAGGACGACCCGAGCCGAGGCCGCGGCAUCAAGGGGAACACGCCCAGACGCCGGGGAAGGGUUCGCAAUGCCUCUCCGGAAUAAUGUCCAAAAGCGUGUCUCUCUUUUACUUUGUGACAGAAUUGUAAGAUGUUUAUGUCGGGCUGCUGCUGCCCUCGAUGCCACUUCCUGGCUAACAACCGUGUGGAGAGAGAAAAAAGACACUCUACACUUUGAAUCCAUGAUAAUUCCAGCAAGAGGUUAAACAAGGACGCUCUUUGACUCUCUGUGUGUGUGUGUGU
ensembl:lncRNA